AACGAACGCUGGCGGCAUGCCUAACACAUGCAAGUCGAACGAGCCCUUCGGGGCUAGUGGCGCACGGGUGCGUAACGCGUGGGAAUCUGCCCUCAGGUUCGGAAUAACUCAGGGAAACUUGAGCUAAUACCGUAUAAUGACUUCGGUCCAAAGAUUUAUCGCCUGAGGAUGAGCCCGCGUAGGAUUAGCUUGUUGGUGAGGUAAAGGCUCACCAAGGCGACGAUCCUUAGCUGGUCUGAGAGGAUGAUCAGCCACACUGGGACUGAGACACGGCCCAGACUCCUACGGGGGGCAGCAGUGGGGAAUAUUGGACAAUGGGCGAAAGCCUGAUCCAGCAAUGCCGCGUGAGUGAUGAAGGCCUUAGGGUUGUAAAGCUCUUUUACCCGGGAUGAUAAUGACAGUACCGGGAGAAUAAGCCCCGGCUAACUCCGUGCCAGCCGCCGCCGUAAUAC
rnacentral:rRNA from 1 species